UAUUUGUAAUUUUCAGGUAACCCCAGAACACUCUACAAUUCAGUACAUCAGCAGAUAUUCAGUCUGCCCAAUGAGUAUCUUCUAUAUCCUGCUCAUGACUACACAGGUCAAACAGUAACCUCCGUAGAAGAAGAACGUACACAUAAUAAAAGAUUGACAAAGACGGUUGAGCAGUUCGAGCAGAUAAUGGCAAACCUAGGGCUGCCAUACCCUGCGCAGAUAGAUCGUGCAUUACCACUAAACCUGGUGUGUGGCCUUCAGGAACUUCUAUCGGUGAAAGACCAAACCGAACAGCAGUCAAAAACCUAAGUUGAUAGAAUGAAGAUGUUUAAACCUUUGCGAACCCUUUUCCUGCACUUCUGUUUUUAUAUGAUGGUAUAUUAAUUUAUACCUAGUGUGUUUGAUUUCUAGCAGUAAUACUGCUUAUUUAUUGAAUGCUGUGAUUAGCAUCGACGUUAUGUCUGUUAUUUGUCGAAAACAUGCAUUUUAGACUAUCUUGUUGGCAGGAAUAUCUCACGAAUGCAAACGCUUGAGAAAAUGCACGUCUGGAAAAUAGUUAUGAAAACUAAAUUUGCCAGUAAAAAAUUUGACGCACCUAGGUAAUUGAUGAAAGCAAUGUUUUAAAACGUGCUGUACACGGUACAGUGGUCCUCGUUGGAAAUGAUUUUUAGUGAUCUUUACUAGUCUUGUGUGUAAAACGCCAUCCUCAUUAUAUUAUAACAAUUGUGUUGGGUACAGGUUAUUGGAUUAAUGUUAAUAUUUUAGGCAGAGCUCAAGAACGAAGUAGGUUUUUUACUAUAUACGUUGAUGGCUGAGUGCACUGAACUACAUUUCCAAAUAUUGUGAUAUGAAUGUAGUGUUUGCAAUUAUAGCAUGCUUUAAUGUUUUAGCUAUUAACCCAUACCUAGCCAUUGACGCCAUACUUAAACCGUGUAUUAUAAAUGUACGUAUACUCUUAAAAGCAAUAAUAAAAUGAUAUAUGGAAACGGGUUUA